AAAUCGAUAAAUUAAACUGAUAUAAUAAUUGUUUUUUCUAAUUAAUUAAAAAUUAAAAGUUCCAUAUUGGCCAAUUGCUGUGGGAUUCUGGUUACGUCCCCGUGUAUAGUAACACAAUCAUCAUUAUGGCUUUGAAAAGCUUCAAAGGCAAUGAAUUAUUAUCAUUUCCAUGGGGUAUAACCGAUAAAAAAAACAGUUAACUCACAGAGCUAUUAUUUUUCACUUUAAUGUAUUCUAAAGGGGCAUUGUAGUAGUUUUUGGUCCGUUAUUUUCAAAACCUUGGAAUUUUCUUGGUGAGUGUUUUCAGGGGCUUUUAUUAUUCAUUUUGGCUGUUGGGGUUUUUGUUUUUGGAGGGGUUGACCUAAGCGGAUAACUUCACUUCGGCGUCUGAUUUGGAGAUUCUCUUGUUUUAGACAGCGAUUUGGAGGUUUUUCUCAAUGGGGUUUGUGGAAUGAAUCUGGUGGUGGAUUUGAUGGAUUUAAAGCAAGUUUUUUUCCUGAAAUAUUUAGUGGGUUUUCUUUGAUUUACAUGUUGAAGAAGAAGCUACAUUUGGGUUGAUUUUCAAGGUUUGACCUUUUGAGAACAAGCUGGCUUGAACAA